GAUGAACGCUGGCGGCGUGCCUAAUACAUGCAAGUCGAGCGAACGGACGAGAAGCUUGCUUCUCUGAUGUUAGCGGCGGACGGGUGAGUAACACGUGGAUAACCUACCUAUAAGACUGGGAUAACUUCGGGAAACCGGAGCUAAUACCGGAUAAUAUUUUGAACCGCAUGGUUCAAAAGUGAAAGUCGGUCUUGCUGUCACUUAUAGAUGGAUCCGCGCUGCAUUAGCUAGUUGGUAAGGUAACGGCUUACCAAGGCAACGAUGCAUAGCCGACCUGAGAGGGUGAUCGGCCACACUGGAACUGAGACACGGUCCAGACUCCUACGGGAGGCAGCAGUAGGGAAUCUUCCGCAAAGGGCGAAAGCCUGACGGAGCAACGCCGCGUGAGUGAUGAAGGUCUUCGGAUCGUAAAACUCUGUUAUUAGGGAAGAACAUAUGUGUAAGUAACUGUGCACAUCUUGACGGUACCUAAUCAGAAAGCCACGGCUAACUACGUG
rnacentral:rRNA from 1 species